rnacentral:rRNA from 1 species
GAUCCUGGCUCAGAAUCAACGCUGGCGGCGCGCUUAACACAUGCAAGUCGAGCGAGAAAGGGGAGCAAUCCCUGAGUAAAGCGGCGUACGGGUGAGUAACACGUGGAUAAUCUACCUUUUAGUGGGGAAUAACCCUGGGAAACCGGGGCUAAUACCGCAUAAUCCUGUGAAGGGAAAGCAGCAAUGCGCUGAAAGAGGAGUCCGCGGCCGAUUAGCUAGUUGGUGAGGUAAUGGCUCACCAAGGCGGUGAUCGGUAGCCGGCCUGAGAGGGCACACGGCCACACUGGCACUGAAACACGGGCCAGACUCCUACGGGAGGCAGCAGUGGGGAAUCUUGCACAAUGGGGGAAACCCUGAUGCAGCGACGCCGCGUGAGCGAUGAAGCCCUUCGGGGUGUAAAGCUCUUUCGGCAGGGACGAUAAUGACGGUACCUGAAGAAGAAGCUGCGGCUAACUACGUGCCAGCAGCCGCGGUAAUACGUAGGCAGCGAGCGUUGUUCGGAAUUACUGGGCGUAAAGAGUGUGUAGGCGGUGCUCUAAGUUCGGUGUGAAAUCUCCUGGCUUAACUGGGAGGGUGCGCCGGAAACUGGAGUGCUUGAGCGUGGGAGAGGAAAGCGGAAUUCCUGGUGUAGCGGUGAAAUGCGUAGAUAUCAGGAGGAACACCUGUGGUGUAGACGGCUUUCUGGACCAU